CCUACGGGGGGCAGCAGUGAGGAAUAUUGGUCAAUGGGCGGAAGCCUGAACCAGCCAAGUCGCGUGCAGGACGAAGGUCCUACGGGUUGUAAACUGCUUUUGCAAGGGGAUAACAUCCUGCACUUGAGGCUGUCUGCGGGUACUGUGCGAAUAAGCACCGGCUAAUUCCGUGCCAGCAGCCGCGGUAAUACGGAGGAUGCGAGCGUUAUCCGGAUUCAUUGGGUUUAAAGGGUGCGUAGGCGGACUGUUAAGUCAGCUGUAAAAGCCCGGGGCUCAACCCCGCUGAGCAGUUGAAACUGGGCGCCUUGAGUUCACAAGAGGCAGGCGGAAUUCGUGGUGUAGCGGUGAAAUGCAUAGAUAUCACGAGGAACUCCGAUUGCGAAGGCAGCCUGCCGGCGUGCGACUGACGCUGAGGCUCGAAGGUGUGGGUAUCAAACAGGAUUAGAUACCCGGGUAGUC
rnacentral:rRNA from 1 species